rnacentral:rRNA from 1 species
UACGUAGGGAGCAAGCGUUGUCCGGAAUCAUUGGGCGUAAAGCGCGCGUAGGUGGCUUCGUAAGUCCGUUGUGAAAGUCAAAGGCUCAACCUUUGAAAGCCGGUGGAUACUGCAUGGCUAGAGUACGGAAGAGGCGAGUGGAAUUCCUGGUGUAGCGGUGGAAUGCGCAGAUAUCGGGAGGAACACCGGUGGCGAAGGCGGGUCUCUGGGCCGAUAUCGACGCUGAGGAGCGAAAGCGUGGGGAGCAAACAGG